rnacentral:rRNA from 1 species
UACAGAGGUCCCGAGCGUUGUUCGGAUUCAUUGGGCGUAAAAGGGUGCGUUAGGCGGCGGGGGCAAGUCUGAUGUGAAAUCCCCGGGGGCUCAACCCCCGGAACUGCAUUGGAUACUGUCUUGCUCGAGUACUGGAGAGGGAACUGGAAUUUACGGUGUACGCAGUGAAAUGCGUAGAGAUCGUAAGGAAGGCCGUGGCGAAGGCGAGUUCCUGGACAGUUACUGACGCUGAGGCACGAAGGCCAGGGGAGCAAAAGGG